rnacentral:rRNA from 1 species
UACGAAGGGGGCUAGCGUUGCUCGGAAUUACUGGGCGUAAAGCGCACGUAGGCGGCUUUCUAAGUCGGGGGUGAAAUCCUGGAGCUCAACUCCAGAACUGCCUUCGAUACUGGAAAGCUCGAGUCCGGGAGAGGUGAGUGGAACUGCGAGUGUAGAGGUGAAAUUCGGUAGAUAUUAGGAAGAACACCAGUGGCGAAGGCGGCUCACUGGUCCGGUACUGACGCUGAGGUGCGAAAGCGUGGGGAGCAAACAGGAUUAGAUACCCCGAG